rnacentral:rRNA from 1 species
UACGUAGGGGGCAAGCGUUAUCCGGAUUUACUGGGUGUAAAGGGAGCGUAGACGGCGAUGCAAGCCAGAUGUGAAAGCCCGGGGCUCAACCCCGGGACUGCAUUUGGAACUGUAUAGCUAGAGUGUCGGAGAGGCAGGCGGAAUUCCUAGUGUAGCGGUGAAAUGCGUAGAUAUUAGGAGGAACACCAGUGGCGAAGGCGGCCUGCUGGACGAUGACUGACGUUGAGACACGAAAGCGUGGGGAGCAAACAGG